AACCGCCGUGUACCGAACGGUACGCACGGUGGUGUGAGAGGACGGCGGCUAAUCACCGCCUCCUACUUGAUUAAAAAAUCAGGAGAAAGAUGAUGGCAAGGGCAAGAUCACCUACUUAAU
rnacentral:misc_RNA from 1 species